UAGCCUUUAGAAUUAUGCUAAACGUAUCUAAUACUAUUUAAAUGCACUUUAAUUUGUGGUGUUAGAUUGUUAGUUUUACAAGGCAAGAGAUCAACAAUGAUCCAUCAAGAAUGUUUGCGACAAGUGGACUGACAGACAAUCGCCAAAGUACACCUCAAAAUAGUCAUCAUAGUACUCUCCAAAUCAUGAAUGGUGGCCACUCCAUUUUUUCUCAAACUUAUAUGGACGAAAACCGUAUUGUCCAAGAAAAUGAAUGGAUUCAACACUCUACGCAACCAUUGCCUGUUGCUCCUCCUCCAAUAUAUGCUCCCAUGAUGGUUGAUUAGAGGCCAGGAGCGUUAGCUGCCUCCUUGUCAAUGUUAUUAUUGUCGUCUGUCGACAAGCAGGUCCCUUCAAUGAAAAUGUAUGUUUGAAAUAUCCCUCAAAUAAGACAUUUUUGAAUGGUUAUUCUACUUGUGUUUUUAAUUAUUAGAUUAAUACUCUGCUCUUUAGCCUUUGGAAUUUAUCAAAUCCUUAAGUUACUGGUUCA